rnacentral:rRNA from 1 species
GAUGAACGCUGGCGGCGUGCCUAAUACAUGCAAGUCGAGCGAACAGAUGAGAAGCUUGCUUCUCUGACGUUAGCGGCGGACGGGUGAGUAACACGUGGAUAACCUACCUAUAAGACUGGGAUAACUUCGGGAAACCGGAGCUAAUACCGGAUAAUAUAUUGAACCGCAUGGUUCAAUAGUGAAAGACGGUUUUGCUGUCACUUAUAGAUGGAUCCGCGCUGCAUUAGCUAGUUGGUAAGGUAACGGCUUACCAAGGCAACGAUGCGUAGCCGACCUGAGAGGGUGAUCGGCCACACUGGAACUGAGACACGGUCCAGACUCCUACGGGAGGCAGCAGUAGGGAAUCUUCCGCAAUGGGCGAAAGCCUGACGGAGCAACGCCGCGUGAGUGAUGAAGGUCUUCGGAUCGUAAAACUCUGUUAUUAGGGAAGAACAAAUGUGUAAGUAACUGUGCACGUCUUGACGGUACCUAAUCAGAAAGCCACGGCUAACUACGUG